rnacentral:rRNA from 1 species
UUUUGGACAAUGGGCGAAAGCCUGAUCCAGCAAUGCCGCGUGAGUGAUGAGGGCCUUAGGGUUGUAAAGCUCUUUUACCCGGGAUGAUAAUGACAGUACCGGGAGAAUAAGCUCCGGCUAACUCCGUGCCAGCAGCCGCGGUAAUACGGAGGGAGCUAGCGUUGUUCGGAAUUACUGGGCGUAAAGCGCACGUAGGCGGCUUUGUAAGUUAGAGGUGAAAGCCUGGAGCUCAACUCCAGAAUUGCCUUUGAUACUGCAUCGCUUGAAUCCAGGAGAGGUGAGUGGAAUUCCGAGUGUAGAGGUGAAAUUCGUAGAUAUUCGGAAGCAACACCAGUGGCGAAGGCGGCUCACUGGACUGGUAUUGACGCUGAGGUGCGAAA